AGCGAACGCUGGCGGCAGGCCUAACACAUGCAAGUCGAACGAACUCUUCGGAGUUAGUGGCGGACGGGUGAGUAACACGUGGGAACGUGCCUGUUGGUUCGGAAUAACUCAGGGAAACUUGUGCUAAUACCGAAUGUGUCCUUCGGGGGAAAGAUUUAUCGCCAUUAGAGCGGCCCGCGUCUGAUUAGCUAGUUGGUGAGGUAACGGCUCACCAAGGCGACGAUCAGUAGCUGGUCUGAGAGGAUGACCAGCCACACUGGGACUGAGCCACGGCCCAGACUCCUACGGGCGGCAGCAGUGGGGGCUCUAGCGCAAUGGGCGAAAGCCUGACGCAGCCAUGCCGCGUGAAUGAUGAAGGUCUUAGGAUUGUAUAAUUCUUUCACCGGGGACGAUAAUGACGGUACCCGGAGAAGAAGCCCCGGCUAACUUCGUG
rnacentral:rRNA from 1 species